AGUUUGAGUUGGCAAAAAUGCAAUGUUUUAGAUUCUCAGUGCCACUAUUUUCUGGUUGUGUCAUUUUAGAAAACAUUUUGAUAAAUAGUUGGAAUAUAUUUUUGUGCUUAGAUACUAGGUUUUUGAAUGGUUUUCCUGUUAAGUCAAAAUGUCUGUUAACUUUUCUUAAAUAUUUAUAGAUUAUUUUUCUAUGGUUAAAAAUGGUCACUUUUAUCUAAGUUGUCAUAUUUACAAAAUGGAGAACUUUAUCAUACUUAAUAACUUUAUUACUAUCUGUUAAAUGUUUAUCACUUCAGUGUCUUCUGUUGCUGCUGGCACUGAACAUGGCUCUCACUAGACUGUUUUGAAAUACUAACACUUAAAAAUAGUUUUCAAGAAAGACUUUGUAAUAUGCAAAAUGUGCCCUUCACACACUUACCUCAAGGAUAUCGGCACGUACAUAUUUUGUUUGUUUGUUUGCAGAGACAGCAUCUUGCUGUAUUGACCUGGCUAGUACUAAGCUUGCAGUGGUCCUCUUGCCUUGAUCCCAUGUGCUCCAAUUAGAGUCAUGUAGCACUACAACCAGCUGGCUGGGUGACAUUUGGAUUCUUCAAGCUAAUAUUUUUAAGAUGGGAUUUCUCUCUGAUUUGCAUAUAGAGUAGAACUAUGAUUAUCCAGAUUAAUGUAACUGAAAUUCUCAAAGUAAACAGGGAUUUGAUGAAAAUGUUUUUGAUUCAGAAGUCAUUUGUGAGUUCUGGGGAUGUAGCUCAGUGGUGAAUGCUUACCUCACAUUUUACGCCUCUGGGUUCUGUCCCUACCUAGUGUCUUGGUGAUGGGCUAGAGAAAAAAUUGAAUUUUCAGAAUAAGUACCUUUGAGUGUCUGUCCAAAGAGAAGUUUCUUUUUAGGUUGAGUGGGUUCUGGUGUAUUGUUGACCCUUGGAGAGUAAUUAAUAAUCUAAGUUGGGAAUUAUUCUUUUCAUAGAAAGUAAAAUGAUACUCAGAUUUAUAAGCUUACCCAUCAUAUUUUAUUUUGACUCAUAGUGUACAUUUGAAGUUCCAUAAUAUUCAGUGAUAGAGGAUAGGAGGAAGUGUCACCAUCAAUCUCAACAAAGACACAGGAGAGCACUCUUGAAAUGAGAAGUCUUUUCUUUUCCUUCUUUUCUCUUCUUUUCUUUUCUUUUCUUUUCUUUUCUUUUUUCUUCUUCUUCUUCUUCUUCUUCUUCUUCUUCUCCUUCUCCUUCUCCUUCUCCUUCUCCUUCUCCUUCUCCUUCUCCUUCUCCUUCUCCUUCUCCUUCUUCUUCUCUCUCUCUCUCUCUCUCUCUCUCUCUCUCUCUGUUAAAUGCUUGAGUGCAGGUUAAUUAAAGGUAGUUUGUGGCUGGUGGAGACAUUCUAUUUAUAUUUUGAAAGGGAGCUUAAAACGUCUUUCAAGAAGUUUUGAGGAUUUAGCAAAUGCUUUCAAAUCUGUUUUUGUGUUAAAACUCACAGCCAUCUUUUCUUUGACAUAGGUAUACUUUUAGUGUUGCUCUUUAACAGCAAUGUAUUGUAUUUUAAAAAUUCCAAUUGGAUGUAGAAAAAUUCAGGAGAGAUUAUCUUUAUUAUGGAUUGACGAGAAAGGAGGAAAUAAGGUGGUUUAAAGGAUAAAUAUGGAAAAACUGACUAGUUUUUUCAUGAUAAAUAAAAUAAAAGAAAGCAACAGUGUACUCACAUAUAUAAAAUAAAUAAACACAUCUUUUUAAAAAUAUGUAUUUAUUUAUUAUAUCUAAGUACACUGUAACUGUCUUCAGACACCCUAGAAUUGAGCAUCAGAUCUCAUUAUGGAUGGUUGUGAGCCACCAUGUGGUUGCUGGGAUUUGAACUCAAGACCUUUGGAAGAGCAGUCAGUGCUCUUAACCAUUGAGCCAUCUCUCCAGCUCAAAAAAUACAUCUUUAACC
rnacentral:lncRNA from 1 species